AUUCUGAACUGAUUAUCUAUGUUGGGUGUGCUGUGAAAAAGAACAUGAAACCAAGGAAAUCAAAAUUCAAUGCAGGUGCUGCAGCAGCUUCUAGGAAUGAUCCCUGAUCCCAAGUGUCUGCCAUGGGAUGAGAAAUUGAAUUAGGCAGUUUCCUGGAAGAGACAGCUCUUCUUUCUGGGAUCAGCUAGAAGAAAUCUCAUCUUUUCCCUCCAAGACUUUAUGGAAAAUACUCAAAGCCAGCAAUCACACACCCAUCUCCAGUCCUCUGUUUUCCACAUUAAAUUUAACCUAUUUCCUCAAAAUUA